UGGAUAUGAGUGGAGAGGGAGCUAGGAAAGACGGGGGUGGGCACUGAGGACAGCAGGGCCGGGACCAGGGGAUCUUGGGGAUUCCUUUUCUCAGCCCCUUGGGUGUAAGAUCUGAGGGGCCCAAGGGCCACGCCAGGGAACAUCCCCCUGUAGACACCUCCCCAUUCCAGGCUGCUGACCUGGGAGAGAGAAGCCAUCAGUGCUGUGCAUGGGACAGGCGAGAGAGGCGACGGGGACAGCAAGAACUGCCUGGCUCGCUGGUAAUUGCUCCUUUCAUCUACUCCUUGGCCCUGCCUGAGAGAGGCCCACACCUGGCUCAGGAGUGCAGCCUCUGCCUCUGGCUCCUGAGGCCCCUGCAGCAGCUGUUAGAGGCCUGCGUCCUGUCUCGUGCUGCCCAUGAGGGUCUAGGGAUGGUGGGCAGACCCUGAACUGGGGCUCCUAACCCCCCUCCCCAAGACAUGCCAGUGUCUUCGGCCCCUUGUCGCCUACAUUAUUCUCCCACCGGUUUUCUUAUUGUGCACGUCCCGCCCUACCUCCUGAUCGCCAGAAGAGCUACACUGAGAGGUGGCCGUUGCUGGGACCAGUUGUAUACUACCACGAAACCUCCUGUCAUCUCACUCCCAAACCCGAAAUCCAGUGCACAACAAGAGACAUUGCUCUAAGCUGAAGUGCACCUCUGGAAGCUACUAGAACAGCCAAAAGAUGCUCUUAACACACAUGCAUACAUGGAUGCAAUUGCAAAAGAGGACAUAGGCAGAUGAGGCCUGAGGAUUUGGGGGUUGACUCUCACUGAGGCUCUGUCCUGGGUUGCCCCAGGAGGAACAGGAAUGGAAGCACUUGGCACCCACAUUGGUCUCUGAGAUGCCAUCACUCACAUCUUCUCCUUGGACACAGCCCCAGCCGGAACUGAAACCCGGCCCUGGAACAGGAAGUGCUCGGAACCUUCCCUGCUGUUGCCGUGGUGCUCACAACCACCCAGGAAACCAAAGGCAAGCUCCCCCUGUCAAAGCACCUUGGCCCAUAAGAAGAAAAGGGUGAGCCCCAGAUGUGAUGAGCACUCCCGGGCUUCAGGCUCAGAAGGUGCCCAGCCCCCGGCUCUCCUGUAACUCAGAGGCCAGUGUGAUGCGAGUUCCUCCACUCAGCAAGCUCCCGCUGUGAACACGCCGGUGGUGGGCAAGAGGGCUUGAGAACGGUUGCUUAUCUUUUCUUUCCUGUGUAAUCUCCACUUUCAUUCACGAUAAUGUCGAACACGCAGCACAGAGCUCGGCUGGAACGCCGGAUCGCUGGCUCAACCAACCGGUGGCGUUUCCCCAAACAGCCUUUUACUGGGGACCUGCUCUCACUUUCCCAGAUGUUCAAGGCUCUGAGCAUAGACUUUGAGGAAGCUCUGAGGAACCCAGACAGGUUAUACAUUUCACAAAUUCAGAAGUUUUUCUGUGAGAAUUUCAAGAACAAGGACAUCCAAAGUGCGGAAGCAGAUGUGAUUCUCGAGUGCCUGGGCUUCAAAUGGGAACUCCACCAGCCCCAGCUUUUUCAGUCUGAGACCUUGGCCAAGCUCUACCUGAAAGCCCUGAUGCAGGGCACCACAUACCCCCUGAGGGAGCUGGAGGAGCUUCUGCGAGCUCAAUCACCUAAGAAGACCAAAGAAAAAUCCCCUGCAAAGAGGAUGAUCAUUUCCUUGAAGAUCAAUGACCCACUGGUCACUAAAGUCGCCUUCGCCACGGCCCUGAAGAACCUCUACGUGAGUGAGGUGGAGAUUAACUUGGAAGAUGUACUGGGGGUGCUGGCUUCCGCCCACAUCCUCCAGUUCAGUGGCCUGUUUCAAAGGUGCGUGGAUGUGAUGAUAACCAGACUCAUGCCAAGCACCAUCAAGAACUUCUACGAGGCCGGCUGCAAGUACAAGGAAGAGCAGCUCACCACCGCCUGCGAGAAGUGGCUGGAAAUGAACUUGGUUCCUCUAGUGGGGAUGCAGAUCCACCUCCGCAAAAUCCCGCAGGACCUGCUCCACAAAGUGCUGAAGUCCCCCAGGUUGUUUACCUUUAGUGAAUUCCGUCUUCUGAAAACAAUGCUUUUGUGGGUCUUCUUGCAACUAAACUACAAGAUUCAGGCAAUUCCAACUCAUGAAACUGUGAUGACAUUUUUUAAGAGCUUUCCCGAGAACUGUUGCUUUCUGGACCGGGAUAUAGGACAGAGCUUGAGGCCACUCUUCCUCUGCUUGCGUCUGCACGGCAUCACCAAAGGCAAGGAUCUGGAGGUGCUGCGGUACAUUAACUUCUUCCCAGAGUCGUGGCUGAACCGGGUUACAGCCAACCACUACCACGCACUGGAGAAUGGGGGCGACAUGGACCAACUGAAAGAUCUUAACACCCAGGCUGUGAGAUUUGGGCUGCUUUUUAACCAGGAGAAUACAACUUAUUCGAAAAUGAUUGCUGUAUAUGGAUUCUUCUUUAAGAUAACGGGACUCAGACAUGAUACCACUUCUUAUAGUUUUUACAUGCAGAGAAUAAAGCACACAGACCUGGAAUCCCCCUUCGUGGCCUACGAGCACAAGCCCGUCAGCCUGCGAGCGGCACGCCUGGUGAAGUAUGAGAUCAGAGCCCAGGCCCUGGUUGACGGCAAGUGGCAGGAGUUCAGGACAAACCAGAUCAUGCAGAAGUUUGGGUUGACCAAGCCAUCCUGCAAAAGCCAUGUGAGCAGGCUCCGUGGAGCGUAUUUGCCAUCACUACCUCCACUGAUGCCUGUGAGUGACACAUUAAUUUCCCUGAAAUCCACAGCCCAGACUCACCUGCCUCACUCUGGCCCACUGGGGAAGGACGGGGCCCAUCUACCUCAGUAGGUGGUUGCCAGCAUCUAGGCAGAUCCACUGCCUGGCCUGGCUUCUGACCAGAAUAAGACUUUGCUACAAGCCAAUCUUGAAAAUCCAAACUGUGGGCAUCCCAAUCUAUGUAAGUUUUGCAUUCAUCUUCCCACCAUCCUGACAGUUUCCAGAAGAAUCUAUGGGAUUUUUCCCCCACUGGUCUGCAUAAAAGAAAAUAAAAUGACAUAAAAGGGAGCACUCAAGCA